rnacentral:rRNA from 1 species
GACGAACGCUGGCGGCGUGCCUAAUACAUGCAAGUCGAGCGGACAGACGCGGAGCUUGCUCCUCUGACGUUAGAGGGGGGAGGGAGAGUAAGACGUGGUUAACCUCCCUAUAAGACUGGGAUAACUUAGGGAAACCGGAGCUAAUACGGGAUAAUAUAUUCAACCGCAGGGUUCAAUAGUGAUAGAGGGUUUUGCUGUCACCUCUAGCUGGAACCGCGCCGCAUUGGCUAGUUGCUAAGGUAACGGCUUACCAAGGCAGCGAUGCGUAGCCGACCGGGGAGGGGGAUCGGCCACACGGGAGCGUAGACACGCUCCCGACUCCUACGGGAGGCAGCAGUAGGGAAUCGUCCGCAAUGGGCGAAAGCCUUACGGAGCAACGCCGCGUCAGUGAUGAAGGUCUUCGGUUCGUAAAGCCCUGUUAUUGGUGAAGAACAAAUGUGUAAGUAACUAUGGACUUCGUGACGGUAUCUAAACAGAAAGCCCCGGCUAACUACGUG